AUGUUGGUGACAGCAGAUGGAUGCUGUAGUCGAGCACUGCAAACCCUCAAGGGAGGGCAGGGUGGAACGAGCUCAGAGCCACACAAAAACAGAGCUAAACCCUGGCGAAGGCCGGGGAGGUUCCUCACACCCAAAUCCUGUGUGACUCGACUUCGUCCCACCGUGCCCUCGACCUUGGGGCGGGUGCCAGCCCUGCAUCUCCUGUCCUGGGCUGGGAUGGCUCCAGCUGCCUCCUGUCACUUCACUGUCACCAGGUCCAUCAGUGACACCCAAGACGAGCCGUGUCCCAUCCCUGUCCUGUCCGUUCCUCCGUCGGCCUCUCCCACCCAGCUGCUGCUUUGCCCCAGCUGGGCCCCGUGUCUCAUCUGCUGUAGGUGUCCUGCCUACCUCAAGAGGUGCAGUAUCCCUCUCCCGCUGCGCGUCCGACCUCCUUCCUCCACAGGGAAUGAGUCAGGUGAUGCCCCUCAUCGUCAUCAUCAUCAUCAUCAUGUCAUCAUCAUCAUCAUCAUCAUCAUCAUCAUCAUCAUCCCCUUCAGAUCCACCCUGGUCUUGAUCUUAAGGGCUGCUUGUUCAGCUGAGAGACGAGAUGUUUCAUUGCCCGCGCCUUGUGUCGCUGCUGCUCCUGGUGAAGUUGAAUAUUCAUGUGCUGGUUGACUCCUCUGCAUGUAGCUGUUCCCUGAACACGUUUCCAUGCUCUGCUGCUGCUCCUCAGCCUGACAUUUUGGGGAGAAAAAAAUGGAUUGGAUAGGUUGGGAGGGAGGAUGAGCAGAUCCUCGUGGUGGGAAGUUGCUUGUGGAGAAGGAAGUGCCGGGGUGGUCCCCGGGGCGAGCCUCACUCAGAGCCCACAGGGGAUGGAGGAAGCACCUCGUGUUCCCCACGCUGGCUGUCAGGGAGGAAGGCUGGGGAGGAGGUGAUGGGUUGUAACUCGCCCUGUGCCCCCUCAGGAACAUCCACCCCAGCACCCCUGGUGGCUUUGGGGCACUUUGGCUCUUGGCUUUGGGAGCAGCCCUGAGAGGGAUCCAUCUGUUCAUGCGCUGCCCUUGCAGUGAAGGCACUGAGUGUUGAGAAGAACAUUCCAAACUCUUCCCCCAGUCACUGCCUUUAUCUGCAAGGUGCUGAUGGCUCCCUGCGAGGAGAAAAGGAAUAGUGUAGGAAACCUGAGAACCCUUGGUGCACUUGGGAGUCGUCAUUUAUCCAUCACAGAGAGCUAUCCAGGGAAACAAAGGGCCAAAGGAAGCUGGAUAGAACAGGAUGUAGUGAUGAUGGAAGGCUUGGGGCAGGAGAUGAUGAAGUUCACCUUCAGUCCCACCACAGCCCCUUGAGGAAACUGAUCCAGCCUCCAUCCCAAAUGCAGGUGAGGGUCAGUGUCCAUCACACCUUCCCCUGGCAGCAGGUGCUGUGAAAACAAACCAUCAUCCUGUCCCCUUGUGCCCUUCUUCGUUUUCUCUUUUUUAAUUUCAUCCCUGUCUUCGUUAGAGCCGACCCGCGGCCCGGGGAGAGCGAUACUGCACCUUUCCACGUAGGGCUCAUAUUUAUAACAAUGUGUAAUGACUGUAGCAAAAGUCCUUGUUUCUGUAUGUGAAUGGACAGAGAAACAAGUGCUCUAUUGUAUUGAUUAAAAUAGUUCAAAUGAGUCCUGUAUCAUUGUAUCUCCUAUUCUGGAUUAGUGCCUUUUGGACAGUAGACUGUUCUGUAAUUAAAAUGUAGUAUAACUGCUUUUUUGUACAGUUUUGUUUUAAUAAAACUUUUUUUUAAUUUGUGUUUAUUUUAGUA
ensembl:lncRNA